CCAAGGAGUCUAACAUGCGCGCGAGUCGUUGGGUCGUACGAAACCCGAAGGCGAAGUGAAAGCGAGGGCCGUCUCUGACGUGCUCAGGUGGGAUCCCCCAGCCUCGCCGGCUGAGGGCGCACCACCGGCCCGUCUCGUCUGCGCUGUCAGUGAGGCGGAGCAGGAGCGUGCACGUUGGGACCCGAAAGAUGGUGAACUAUGCCUGAGUAGGACGAAGCCAGAGGAAACUCUGGUGGAGGUCCGCAGCGAUUCUGACGUGCAAAUCGAUCGUCAAACUUGGGUAUAGGGGCGAAAGACUAAUCGAACCAUCUAGUAGCUGGUUCCCUCCGAAGUUUCCCUCAGGAUAGCUGGCACUCAGUACGCAGUUUUAUCCGGUAAAGCGAAUGAUUAGAGGCCUUGGGGACGAAACGACCUCAACCUAUUCUCAAACUUUAAAUGGGUAAGAAGUCCGACCCGCUUGGUUGGGGCCGGGCCU
rnacentral:rRNA from 2 species